rnacentral:rRNA from 1 species
UUGAAUUAUUCAUUAAAACAUUAGUUUAUAUGUAAAUUUGUGUGAUAUGAUGUUUUUAAAAAAAAUAUUGUUUUGUGUGCAGUAUUUGAUAUUAUUAAUAUUAAGUUAAUUUAGAUUUGGUAAAUGUUAGUUAGAUUUGGUGAGGGCUGUGCCAGCAACCGCGGUUAUACAGCAAAAUCAAGUGAAUAUUAUUAGUUUUGAAGUAAUUAUUAUGAUAUAAGUUGUUAUUUAAUUUUAGAUAUUGUAAGGUGAAAUAUUUAAUAUUUUGGGUUAAAUAUAUUUUAGUAAGAUUUUACGAAAAUGAGUUUAUAAACUAGGAUUAGAUACCCUAUUAUUUUUAUUGUAAAAUUUUAAGCUGAAGUAUUAAUAGCUAUGAUCUUGAAACUUAAAGAAUUUGGCGGUAUUAUAGUCUAUUUAGAGGAAUCUGUUAUGUAAUUGAUAAUCCACGUUGAACCUUACUUAUAUUAUUUUCUUGUAUACCGCUGUUUAUUGAAUAUACUUUUAGGUAUAAAUUUUCUGAAUAUAAAAUUAUAUAGAAUUUCAAGUCAAGGUGCAGUAAUAUAUGAGUUGAAUAAUGGAUUACAAUAAGUUUUAUUUAUAUGGAUUAUUUUUUAGAAUUAAUAGGAAGGUGGAUUUAAUUGUAAUUUUUUGAAGAUUAUUAAAGUGAUUAAUAGCUCUAUAAUAUGUACACAUCGCCCGUCACUCUCAUUAUAAAGUGAGAUAAGUCGUAACAGAGUAAGUGUAUCGGAAGAUGUACUUAGAAAGAUUGGUUUUU